rnacentral:tRNA from 1 species
AUUUAUAUAGUAUAAAUAAAUUAUAUUUGAUUUCCAAUCAAAAGAUCUAUUUAAUCUUUUUGGAGUAGUGUAAAUA